rnacentral:rRNA from 1 species
GAUGAACGCUGGCGGCGCGCCUAACAUAUGCAAGUCGAACGAUUAAAGCACCUUCGGGUGUGUAUAAAGUGGCGAACGGCUGAGUAACACGUGGGCAACCUGCCCCUUUCAUUGGGAUAGCCACGGGAAACCGUGGAUAAUACCGAAUACUUCGAGACUUCCGCAUGGAAGACUCGAGAAAGCUCCGGCGGAGAGGGAUGGGCCCGCGGCCUGUUAGCUUGUUGGUGGGGUAACGGCCUACCAAGGCAAUGAUGGGUAGCUGGGUUGAGAGACCGACCAGCCAGAUUGGGACUGAGACACGGCCCAGACUCCUACGGGAGGCAGCAGUGGGGAAUCUUGCACAAUGGGCGAAAGCCUGAUGCAGCGACGCCGCGUGCGGGAUGAAGGCCUUCGGGUUGUAAACCGCUUUCAGCAGGGACGAGGCGAAAGUGACGGUACCUGCAGAAGAAGCCCCGGCUAACUACGUG